GAAAAAUCAACACUGCAACGGGAGUCUAGAUGGGCUGGGAAGGAAAAUCACAUGAGACUUCGUUGGUGUCCUGGGAGGACAGGAUGAGCACUUCCACCCUCGAGUGCAUUUGUAUUUCAGGACUUCCAGUUGAGUGGUGUCCACAGCAGGUCACUGAGAUGUGAGCGUGGAGAGAGGAGCCUGCAUGACCAGACUAGAACUCAGGGAGCUGGCGCUUCUCAAAUUCCUGUUGAUCCAAAGCAAAUUCACCUCAGAAGGGGAGAGCGCACUUACUGCCAAGAGAAGACUGUGACUCACACCUCGAAUAGACCGUCUUUCUUUUUGCAAGGAGGAGGCCCGGAAGGAUGUCUCACUGGGAUCUCGGGGAGCACAUGAGACAGCAGAGGCACCCAGGAAGAGGUGGGAGAGAGUGAAGAUUUCCAGCACGCUGUGAUGUUUCACUUUAACAACCGCAGGAGGAGGAUGUGAUGUUAUCUCCAUUGAUGGAGACACUUUGGAGACAUGGAGAGGUUAAGAAACUUUCUCGAGGUCAUGCAGUAGGAGGUGGCAGCCCAGGGUUCAGCUUCAGUCCAACUGCCUUUUCACCAGUGUUCCUGCUUUGCUUCCCCAGAUGCGCAGCUGACCCUCUUAUCUCAGCUGACAUGGUUAAAAGUGAGAAUGGAUGGAUCCCGUGCAGGGAAGGCCCGUGACAUCAAACCCAACCCUCGCCCUCAAAGUGGAAUAAUCCGUACUCUCCAAAGGAGUCUCUGAUGGUGAUUUGAUCCGGACCUCACGGAUCCACACUUUGGCUUUUUAUCUGUUGUGUCCUCAUUUCUCAAACUUGGAAAUUUCCAUGCAAACAGAGCUGCAGAAGGAAAAAAAUGUGUUCCAGUUUGCCAGUAGAAAUACAAUGCAAGACACAUGAGUAAUCAUGUAUCUUCCAGGAGCUGUGCAUUAGAACUGUAAUAAGAAACAGGGCACUGGGAGACUUGGUCACUUCCGGAAAGGUCAUUACUUACUUUGGAAAUGAGGGGAACAUGUUACACUAUCAUGGAUGUGGCGAAGCAAGUCCUGCACACAUCAUACCGGUGAAUUUCCUGUCGGACCCUCUGUGUUCCACAAGCCAGAACACUGACAAUCUUAUACUCUGCUUAUCCGGUGGAGAUGCCCAGGUGCGCACAGGCAGCCCCACAGUGGUGUCAGGAAGGGAGGCCCUGUCCUGAGAGCUCCAAACACAGAGUGGGUUGGGAGAGGGCCGCCCUCUGGGAGGGCCCGCACAGUCUCAACCAGAUGAAGUGCGCUUCGUAACAUUUCAGGUCAUGUGAAACCCAAGGAAAUAAAAGAAACCACGACAAACACAAAAGCAACCAGUUAUUGGUUAAGGAAAAACUCCUCAGGGAUCAGGCCAGUGGAGUUGUGAAAUCUAAAAUUCUUGCUAUAAAUGCAUUUCAACUGCUAAAACAGGG
rnacentral:lncRNA from 1 species